CUCAAAUCAGGUGGGACUACCCGCUGAACUUAAGCAUAUCAAUAAGCGGAGGAAAAGAAACUAACAAGGAUUCCCCUAGUAACUGCGAGUGAAGCGGGAAGAGCUCAAAUUUAAAAUCUGGCAGUUUUUGAAGCUGUCCGAGUUGUAAUUUAGAGAAGUGUUUUCUG
rnacentral:rRNA from 1 species